rnacentral:rRNA from 1 species
UUAAGCAUAUCAAUAAGCGGAGGAAAAGAAACUAACAAGGAUUCCCCUAGUAACUGCGAGUGAAGAGGGAAAAGCUCAAAUUUUGAAUCUGGCGGUCCUCGAGGCCGUCCGAGUUGUAAUCUAGAGAAGCGUCUUCCGUGCUGGACCGUGUACAAGUCUCCUGGAAGGGAGCGUCAUAGAGGGUGAGAAUCCCGUCUUUGACACGGACUGCCAGUGCUAUGUGAUGCGCUCUCGAAGAGUCGAGUUGUUUGGGAAUGCAGCUCAAAAUGGGUGGUAAAUUCCAUCUAAAGCUAAAUACAGGCGAGAGACCGAUAGCGAACAAGUACCGUGAGGGAAAGAUGAAAAGAACUUUGGAAAGAGAGUUAAACAGUACGUGAAAUUGCUGAAAGGGAAACGCUUGAUGUCAGUCACGUCCGCCAGGGAUCAACCUUGCUUUUUCGCUGGGUGCAUUUCUUGGUUGGACGGGUCAGCAUCGGUUUCGAUCGUCGUAGAAUGGUCGAGGGAACGUGGCACCUCUAGGGGUGUGUUAUAGCCCUUGGUCGUAUGCGUCAGUAGGGACCGAGGAACUCGGCACGACCUUCGCGGGUCGGUGUCUAGGAUGCUGGCAUAAUGGCCUUAAGCGACCCGUCUUGAAACACGGACCAAGGAGUCUAACAUGCCUGCGAGUGUUCGGGUGGAAAACUCGAGCGCACAACGAAAGUGAAAGUCGAGAUCUCUGUCGUGGAGAGCAUCGACGCCCGGACCAGAGUCUUUGACGAAGGAUCUGCGGUAGAGCAUGCAUGUUGGGACCCGAAAGAUGGUGAACUAUGCCUGAAUAGGGUGAAGCCAGAGGAAACUCUGGUGGAGGCUCGUAGCGAUUCUGACGUGCAAAUCGAUCGUCGAAUUUGGGUAUAGGGCGAAAGACUAAUCGAACCAUCUAGUAGCUGGUUCCUGCCGAA